rnacentral:rRNA from 1 species
CAGUCGCCGCGGGAAUACGUAGGGCGCAAGCGUUGUCCGGAAUUAUUGGGCGUAAAGAGCUCGUAGGCGGUCUGUCGCGUCUGGUGUGAAAUCCCGAGGCUCAACCUCGGGCUUGCAUCGGGUACGGGCUGACUAGAGUGCGGUAGGGGAGACUGGAAUUCCUGGUGUAGCGGUGGAAUGCGCAGAUAUCAGGAGGAACACCGAUGGCGAAGGCAGGUCUCUGGGCCGCAACUGACGCUGAGGAGCGAAAGCAUGGGGAGCGAACAGGAUUAGAUACCCCCGUAGUCCCUGUCUCUUAUAC